AAGACUUUAAGUUAUUUAAACUAUUAACCUUCAAAGUUAAAUAUAAUGAGAUUUGUUAGGUCUUA
rnacentral:tRNA from 1 species